UACCAGCACCCGAGUGGUCGGGACGAUUAUUGGGCCUAAAGCAUCCGUAGCCGGUCCUACAAGUCGUUCCGUUAAAUCCACCUGCUCAACAGAUGGCUGCGGAGGAUACUAUAAGACUAGGAGGCAGGAGGAGGCAAGCGGUACUCAGUGGGUAGGGUAAAUCCGUUGAUCCAUUGAAGACCACCAGUGGCGAAGGCGGCUUGCCAGAAUGCGCUCGACGGUGAGGAUGAAA
rnacentral:rRNA from 1 species